CAAAAACAUGUCCUUUUGUUUGUAAAUAUAAGGUCUAACCUGCCCAAUGAUUUCCAUUUAAUGGCCGCGGUAUAUUAACUGUGCUAAGGUAGCAUAAUCAUUUGUCUUUUAAUUGGAGGCUAGAAUGAAUGGUUGGACGAGAUAUAAUCUUUCUUUAACUUAUCUUUAGAAUUUAAUUUUUUAGUUAAAAAGCUAAAAUAUUUUUGAGGGACGAGAAGACCCUAUAGAUCUUUAUAUCUUAAUAUAUUAUGUAUUUUGGUGAAUGAAUUAUUUAUAAUAAAUUAAGAUAUUUGGUUGGGGCGACUGCGGAAUUUAUUCAACUUCUGUUUUAAGUUUUCAUUAAUUAGUGUAAUUUAAUUGAUCCAUUAUUAAUGAUUAAAAGAUUAAGUUACCUUAGGGAUAACAGCGUAAUUUCCUCGGAGAGUUCUUAUCGAUGAGGAAGUUUGCGACCUCGAUGUUGGAUUAAAAUAAGUUUUGGGUGUAGAAGUUUAUAAACUAGGUCUGUUCGACCUUUAAUAUUUUACAUGAUCUGA
rnacentral:rRNA from 1 species